UACGAAGGGGGCUAGCGUUGUUCGGAUUUACUGGGCGUAAAGCGCACGUAGGCGGAUCUUUAAGUCAGGGGUGAAAUCCCAAGGCUCAACCUUGGAACUGCCUUUGAUACUGGAGAUCUUGAGUCCGGGAGAGGUGAGUGGAGCUGCGAGUGUAGAGGUGAAAUUCGUAGAUAUUCGCAAGAACACCAGUGGCGAAGGCGGCUCACUGGCCCGGUACUGACGCUGAGGCGCGAAAGCGUGGGGAGCAAACAGG
rnacentral:rRNA from 1 species